UUUUAGCGGCGGACGGGUGAGUAACGUGUGGGUAACCUGCCUUUUACUGGGGAAUAAUCACUGGAAACGGUGACUAAUACCGCAUACGGGUUCUUGGAAGGCAUCUUCUGAGAAAGAAAGGAUUUAUUCGGUAAAAGAUGGGCCCGCAUCUGAUUAGCUAGUUGGUGAGAUAACAGCCCACCAAGGCGACGAUCAGUAGCCGACCUGAGAGGGUGACCGGCCACAUUGGGACUGAGACACGGCCCAAACUCCUACGGAAGGCAGCAG
rnacentral:rRNA from 1 species